rnacentral:ncRNA from 1 species
AAGGGGCGGCGGCAGCCUGAGAUGUACCCUUUGAACCUGAUCCGGGUCGUACCGGCGUAGGAAUAGGAUUUUAUAA